UGCAAGCUGCGAGAUGCCCUACUGA
rnacentral:piRNA from 1 species